rnacentral:tRNA from 1 species
GCAGUCGUGGCCGAGUGGUUAUGGCGAUGGUCUUGAAAACCAUUGGGUACUUCCCGCGCAGGUUUGAACCCUUUCGACUGCG